ensembl:lncRNA
CCAGUCCGCCUCCCAAUGCUGAGAAAUGUGCUGUGCUCAGCAUUUCUGUGCUGAUGCCGCCGCAUCCAUGGUCGAAAAGGCGGGCGGCUGCAGCAGCCACAGCAGCAGUUGCUCUAGGGGUUAGAAAUCAGAUCGCAGCAUUUCUACCUCAUUUGGCAGCAGAAGUCCCGGGUCACAAGGAAGAUGAGGUUCUAGUCCAGAAGCUGCUGGGCUUUGUCACUCUGAAGGUGGUUAUUCUUUGGGUCACACUGCAAAGAAAGUGUCUACGGCACCAGCAAAUCUUCCCAGCAGGGUCAAGUGGGCAGCUGAUACGAAUGGAGGUCAUCAAAGAAGAAAAGCCGGAGUAGGGGAAGCAGAUGGGACCUGCGUGUGCGGACAUCGCCGGGGCUAACCCAGAGCUCCCGAAAAACACUCCGCACGGGCACAGCAGCACAACAAAAGGAGCCUCCCGAAGUGAGUCUAAGCGUUGUUGGGACGGGCGGCGGCCGGACGCGGGGACGCACUUCUGUGCGCUCUCAUCCCGGGCGUCCAUCUGGCCCCGGCGGCGCGGGCUGCAGGGCUGGCGGGAG